UACGUAGGGGGCAAGCGUUGUCCGGAAUUAUUGGGCGUAAAGCGCGUGUAGGCGGUCCGGUAAGUCGGUUGUGAAAGCCCAGGGCUCAACCCUGGGAUGCCGACCGAUACUGUCGGACUAGAGUUCGGAAGAGGCGAGUGGAAUUCCCGGUGUAGCGGUGAAAUGCGCAGAUAUCGGGAGGAACACCAAUGGCGAAGGCAGCUCGCUGGGACGUUACUGACGCUGAGACGCGAAAGCGUGGGGAGCAAACAGG
rnacentral:rRNA from 1 species